AUGAGAAUCCUGCCCUCUGGGUAGAUCUCCCACCCUGUGUUUACUAUACCAUUGUUGCUUUGCCGGGCCCGGCUCUAGGGCCCUCCGGCUUCGGCUGGACAGCGCCCGGCAGAGGCCAAAACUCUUUGUUUAAUAUUGUCAGAGUACUAUUUUAAUAGUUA
rnacentral:misc_RNA from 1 species